rnacentral:lncRNA from 1 species
AGGUGUUGGGACUUUGAUGGGAAAAAGGUGAAGCAAAAUGUGGUAAACAGGAAUGAAAAGCCAGAAUGAAUAAAGGAAGCCUUCAUUGUUCUGACUGGGGCCUGAGCAGUGAGCAGAAUGGAAUGUCUAUCAGGACAGCCGUAGAUUUCCACAGCUUCCUGCUUUCGUCAGCUUCAGCUUAACAUCUAUUAUUGUGAAGAGUAGGGUCUUCCAAGUUUAUAAGAAGAAUCAGAUUUCCAAGAGCAAUUUACCCCUUUCUUCAUUCUGUUAGGCAUUAUUUGGAAUGGCUUUUCUUCGAUGAAUUCAAUUAACAGGCUGGAGUGCAGCGGCGUGAUCUCGGCUCACUACAACCUCCACCUCCCGGGUUCAAGCGAUUCUUCUGCUUCAGCCUUCUCCUGAGCAGCUGGGAUUACAAGUGCGCACCAUCAUGCCUGGCUAAUUUUUGUAUUUUUAAUAGAGACGGGGUUUCUCCAUGUUGGCCAGGCUCGUCUCAAACUCCUGACCUCAGGUGAUCUGCCCACCUCGGCCUCCCGAAGUGCUGGGAUUACAGGUGUGAGCCACUGCACCCAGCCUAAAGAGAAUAUUUUCUCAAUUAAAAAUACUAUAGUCUUCAGAAAAGAAUCAAUUAAAGUGAUGAGAAAUUUCAAAUAUAUUAACUACAAACUGCAACUUUGAAAAAUAUUGCAGGCAAUUUUAUUAAGUUCUACAGAGAAAUGUCAGUAACAUGGUAUUAGAAAUAAAUAUAGCUGAUAAACAGAUUAAAGUUUAUGAAUAUAUACCAAGAAUAAUUAUUCUGCUUAUGUAAUUUUAAUUUUGGAAAACCAUUUUGAAAAGUUUGUUACAUGAAAUGUUAUUUUUAAAAGAAUUUCAUAUUUGAAAAUAGUUUGAAUAUAUAAUUUUUAAGUAUUUUCAAUGCAAUUAGUCCAAUUUUCUGAUCAAUAAAUAUCUUUUAAAAGUA